GCACUUAUAGCUUAGUGGAAGAGCGUCAGUCGUGUAAACUGAAGGUUUGUAGUUCGAUCCUCCAUGGGGGCA
rnacentral:tRNA from 1 species